AUUGAACGCUGGCGGCAUGCCUUACACAUGCAAGUCGAACGGCAGCACGGGUGCUUGCACCUGGUGGCGAGUGGCGAACGGGUGAGUAAUACAUCGGAACGUACCUUAUCGUGGGGGAUGACGCAGCGAAAGCUGUGCUAAUACCGCAUACGCCCUGAGGGGGAAAGCGGGGGAUCGCAAGACCUCGCGCGAUUAGAGCGGCCGAUGCCUGAUUAGCUUGGUGGUGGGGUAAAAGCCCACCAAGGCGACGAUCAGUAGCUGGUCUGAGAGGACGAUCAGCCACACUGGGACUGAGACACGGCCCAGACUCCUACGGGAGGCAGCAGUGGGGAAUUUUGGACAAUGGGGGCAACCCUGAUCCAGCAAUGCCGCGUGAGUGAAGAAGGCCUUCGGGUUGUAAAGCUCUUUUGUCAGGGAAGAAACACCGGCUCUAACACAGUCUGGGAAUGACGGUACCUGAAGAAUAAGCACCGGCUAACUACGUGCCAGCCGCCGCGGUAA
rnacentral:rRNA from 1 species